rnacentral:sRNA from 1 species
AAAGCAGUUGAGUAGGCAGAAAAAAGAACCUCUUCAUUAAGGAUUAAAAUGUAUAGAUCAAAAAUCUUACUUUUAUAGGAGCAGUUUUCAACUCCUAAAUGUUGAAUAUAAUAGUCAGUUAAAUUCACCAGCUACACAGGAAUACAGGACUUUGAGUGGAAGAAUUGAAUCUCUGGCAAGAUGGUAGUGGUGUGAGAGCGGAUGUUGUCAUGAAAUUUCGAUUCACUAGAAAUAACAAUGGAGCAUCAAUGAAAAGCAGAAUUGAGUCUGUUUUACAACAAAUGCUGAAUAACUCUGGAAACCUGGAAAUAAACCCUUCAACUGAGAUAACAUAAUGUGGGGCCGGUCCAGACCUAAUAACAUUGUCUGAGCAGAGAAUCCUUGGAGGCACUGAGGCUGAGGAGGGAAGCUGGCCAUGGCAAGUCAGUCUGCGGCUCAAUAAUGCCCACCACUGUGGAGGCAGCCUGAUCAAUAACAUGUGGAUCCUGACAGCAGCUCACUGCUUCAGAAGCAACUCUAAUCCUCGUGACUGGAUUGCCACGUCUGGUAUUUCCACAACAUUUC